rnacentral:rRNA from 2 species
AACGCGAAGAACCUUACCUACUCUUGACAUCCAGAGAACUUUCCAGAGAUGGAUUGGUGCCUUCGGGAACUCUGAGACAGGUGCUGCAUGGCUGUCGUCAGCUCGUGUUGUGAAAUGUUGGGUUAAGUCCCGCAACGAGCGCAACCCUUAUCCUUUGUUGCCAGCGGUUCGGCCGGGAACUCAAAGGAGACUGCCAGUGAUAAACUGGAGGAAGGUGGGGAUGACGUCAAGUCAUCAUGGCCCUUACGAGUAGGGCUACACACGUGCUACAAUGGCGUAUACAAAGAGAAGCGACCUCGCGAGAGCAAGCGGACCUCAUAAAGUACGUCGUAGUCCGGAUUGGAGUCUGCAACUCGACUCCAUGAAGUCGGAAUCGCUAGUAAUCGUAGAUCAGAAUGCUACGGUGAAUACGUUCCCGGGCCUUGUACACACCG